UACGGAGAACUCAAGCGUUACCCGGAAUCACUGGGCGUAAAGCGUUGCGUAGGCGGCUUUGCAAGUCAGGUCUUAAAGGCCGAGGCUCAACCUCGGCAGUGGGCUUGAUACUACAAGGCUAGAGGAUGGUAGAGGUGAGUGGAAUUGCUGGUGUAGGAGUGAAAUCCGUAGAUAUCAGCAGGAACACCAAUGGCGAAGGCAGCUCACUGGACCAUUCCUGACGCUCAGGCACGAAAGCGUGGGGAGCGAACCGG
rnacentral:rRNA from 1 species